GUUUUCCCGCUACCACCCGCAAACGCAGCUUUUGCGGUUGGUAGCGGUUGCUGGCGUUUUGCAACAAUCGUUCAAACCGUUCUAAACCGCUCCAAAGCGCUCCAAAUCGCUCUGAACCUCAUAAAUUCAAAAGCUGGUUCCAUCUAGCGUUUGCGGUUGCGGACGUUUGCGGGAGGACAAAAAAAAAUUAUUUUUUUUCCAAAACAAUAUAAAUACAAAAAUAAAAAAAAAUUCAAUAAAAAAAUUAAAUUGAAAUUAUAAAAAUGCUAAAAUAUAUCAAUUAAAUUUUAAUUAAUAUUAUAAAACUUUAAAAUAAAAAUAUUUUCUAUAUUUUUAAAAAAAAUUAAACUAUAACUUUCUAAAUAUAAAUUUUAUAUUUAUUAUAAUAUUAUUAUUUUUGAUAUUUUUAUAAUUGUAUAAAAUGUAAAUCUUGUUAAUUUAUUAUUUAACUGCUGCUGCAUUUGGUAGUUAACCAGUCAUAAGUAUCCUGCAAACGCACCAAUUUCUAACCGCAGAACCAGUCGUACAAAUCUCUUAAAACCGCUAGAAACCGCAACCACCCGCAUCCGCAAACUCCCGCAACCGCAACCGCAACCGCUGCGGUUGAACCAGUCAGGCCCUUAGUUGGUAAACAUGAAGCGAUUAGGCACAUGCAUUGCGAAGCUUUUAUGGUUAGU
rnacentral:lncRNA from 1 species